AAGGUUUCGACGGGGAUUUUGAACCGAUAUAAGCGAGCAGAAGAGCGUGACUUCUCUAAAAAACGUAAAUUAAAUUUAAACGCUAAGAAAAACGUAGCACUCGCUGCCUAAUCGGCAGCCGUCGGACCCGGAAGGACUACGAGCCGGGUUUUGGCGUCACACAGUAGUGAACGUGAACGGAAUUAAGCUUUGCUUUCUGUCAUGAACUUAUGAAGCUACCAAGCAUUUCAGCCUGCUCUUUGGCGGUAAUGUAAGGGAAUGUAAAAAAAGAGAUACGCUCGUAGAAAGUGCCGGCAAGAGGUUUUCGGACAGGGGUUCGA
rnacentral:tmRNA from 1 species